GAUGAAGAACGUAGCGAAAUGCGAUACUUGGUGUGAAUUGCAGAAUCCCGUGAACCAUCGAGUCUUUGAACGCAAGUUGCGCCCGAAGCCAUUAGGCCGAGGGCACGCCUGCCUGGGUGUCACACGUCGUUGCCCCCCCAUCUACUCCUUCGGGAUUGCGGGGGGCGGAUGAUGGCCUCCCGUGCGCCUCGUCGCGCGGUUGGCCUAAAUGCCAAGUCCUCGGCGACGCACGCCACGACAAUCGGUGGUUGCGAAACCUCGGUUGCCCGUCGUGUGCGGUCGUCGCGCAUCGAGGGCUCGAAAAAAUUGCCGGGCUUCGGCUCGACUUUCAACGCGACCCCAGGUCAGGCGGGGUUACCCGCUGAAUUUAAGCAUAUCAAUAAGCGGAGGA
rnacentral:misc_RNA from 1 species